UACGAAGGGGCUAGCGUUGCUCGGAAUGACUGGGCGUAAAGGGCGCGUAGGCGGAUGGCACAGUCAGAUGUGAAAUUCCCGGGCUUAACCUGGGGGCUGCAUUUGAUACGUGUGAUCUAGAGUGAGGAAGAGGGUCGUGGAAUUCCCAGUGAUAGAGGUGAAAUUCGUAGAUAUUGGGAAGAACACCGGUGGCGAAGGCGGCGACCUGGUCCUUGACUGACGCUGAGGCGACGAAAGCCAGGGGAGCAAACGGG
rnacentral:rRNA from 1 species